GGAUCUCUUGGUUCUGGCAUCGAUGAAGAACGCAGCGAAAUGCGAUAAGUAGUGUGAAUUGCAGAAUUCAGUGAAUCAUCGAAUCUUUGAACGCACAUUGCGCCCCUUGGUAUUCCGUGGGGCAUGCCUGUUCGAGCGUCAUCUACACCCUCAAGCACUGCUUGGUGUUGGGCGUCUGUCCCGCCUUUGCGCGUGGACUCGCCCCAAAGUCAUUGGCAGCGGUCUCUGGCACCUCAACGCGCAGUACAAUGCGUUCAUUGGGGUGCCGUGGGCGCGACCAUAAAGCUAUUUACCGUCUUUGACCUCGGAUCAGGUAGGGAUACCCGCUGGACUUAAGCAUAUCAAUAAGCGGAGGAGCGGAGGAGCAUAUCAAUAAGCGGAGGA
rnacentral:rRNA from 1 species